rnacentral:rRNA from 1 species
CAGUAGCCACGGUAAUACGAAGGGUGCAAGCGUUAAUCGGAAUUACUGGGCGUAAAGCGUGCGUAGGCGGUUUGUUAAGUCUGCUGUGAAAUCCCCGGGCUCAACCUGGGAAUGGCAGUGGAUACUGGCAAGCUAGAGUGUGUCAGAGGAUGGUGGAAUUCCCGGUGUAGCGGUGAAAUGCGUAGAGAUCGGGAGGAACAUCAGUGGCGAAGGCGGCCAUCUGGGACAACACUGACGCUGAGGCACGAAAGCGUGGGGAGCAAACAGGAUUAGAUACCCGCGUAGUCCCUGUCUCUUAUAC